CACAAGGGCGCAAAGCUUGAUGCAGCGAAGCNGCGUGAGGGAUGACAGCUUUCGGGUUGUAAACNUCUGUAGCAUCGAAGAAAGCGAAAGUGACGGUAGUNGCAGAGAAAGCGCCGGCUAAACUACGUGCCAGCAGCCGCGGUAAUACGUAGGGCGCGAGCGUGUCNNGGAAUUAUUGGGCGUAAAGAGCUUGUAGGCGGUUGGUCGCGUCUGCUGUGAAAGGCCGGGGCUUAACUCCGGUUUUGCAGUGGGUACGGGCUAACUAGAGUGCAGUAGGGGAGACUGGAAUUCCUGGUGUAGCGGUGGAAUGCACAGAUAUCAGGAGGAACACCGAUGGCGAAGGCAGGUCUCUGGGCUGUAACUGACGCUGAGAAGCGAAAGCAUGGGGAGCGAACAGGAUUAGAUACCCUGGUAGUCCAUGCCGUAAACGUUGGGCACUAGGUGUGGGGGACAUUCCACGUUUUCCGCGCCGUAGCUAACGCAUUAAGUGCCCCGCCUGGGGAGUACGGCCGCAAGGCUAAAAACUCAAAGGAAUUGACGGGGGCCCGCACAAGCGGCGGAGCAUGCGGAUUAAUUCGAUGCAAACGCGAAGAACCUUACCAAGGCUUGACAUGCAUUAGAAUCGCGUCAGAGAUGGCGUUUCCCUUCGGGGCUGGUGUACAGGUGGUGCAUGGUUGUCGUCAGCUCGUGUCGUGAGAUGUUGGGUUAAGUCCCGCAACGAGCGCAAACCCUCGUUCUAUGUUGCCAGCGGUUCGGCCGGGGACUCAUAGGAGACUGCCGGGGUCAAACUCGGAGGAAGGUGGGGAUGACGUCGAAUCAUCAUGCCCCUUAUGUCUUGGGCUUCACGCAUGCUACGAAUGGCCGGUACAGAGGGUUGCGAUACUGUGAGGUGGAGCUGAAUCCCUUAAAAGCCGGUCUCGAGUUCGGAAUUGGGGUCUGCGAACUCGGACCCCGUGAAGUCGGAGUCGCUAGUAAUCGCGGUUCGAGCGGACGCUGCGGUUAUGCGUUUCCCGGGCCCUUUUCGCGCCCCCC
rnacentral:rRNA from 1 species